GCCGAUAACGCCGAGCCUGUUCCCCACGCGGCGUCCGGCCUCUCCGGAGGAGUUGAGGACGCGGUUGACCCGGAGCUUGAGGGAGUCGCCCGGAUCGGCGGCGCGGAUGCCGCGGAAAAGGCCGGCGGAGGCUCCGGCGACGGCGCCCGAGAGGUAGCCAACGCCGGUGUAGUAGGUGAGGUUCUCACCCCAGGAGCGGUGCUCCUU
rnacentral:misc_RNA from 1 species